rnacentral:rRNA from 1 species
UACGUAGGGGGCAAGCGUUGUCCGGAAUUAUUGGGCGUAAAGCGUGCGCAGGCGGUUCGCUAAGACAGAUGUGAAACGUCCCGGCUUAACCUGGGAACUGCAUUUGUGACUGGCGGGCUAGAGUAUGGCAGAGGGGGGUAGAAUUCCACGUGUAGCAGUGAAAUGCGUAGAGAUGUGGAGGAAUACCGAUGGCGAAGGCAGCCCCCUGGGCCAAUACUGACGCUCAUGCACGAAAGCGUGGGGAGCAAACAGG